UACGUAGGUGGCGAGCGUUGUCCGGAUUUACUGGGCGUAAAGGGCGUGCAGGCGGUUUGUUAAGUGCAGAGUGAAAGCUCCCGGCUCAACUGGGAGAGGUCUUUGCAUACUGGCAAACUCGAGGGAGGCAGAGGAAAGUGGAAUUCCCGGUGUAGUGGUGAUAUGCGUAGAUAUCGGGAGGAACACCAGUGGCGAAGGCGACUUCCUGGCCUGUUCUUGACGCUGAGGCGCGAAAGCUAGGGGAGCAAACGGG
rnacentral:rRNA from 1 species